UUCAUCUGAUGACCAAGAGAUAUCCGAAGAUGUGAUUUCUAGUGAAGAUGAGUGGAAACCAGAGGAAACAAAUUCGGACGAAGAGCCAGUCAAAGGCUCAUAUGACAAGCAAAAGACCCAGAAAGAAAGAGCUUCGUUCCAAAGAUUACCUGAACAACGACAACCGAGAAAGCGGACACCAACACCAAGGCAAAGGAAUCAAAGAAACGAUAGCACAACUAAAAGAAA